AUCCAGCUGACGAGUCCCAAAUAGGACGAAUCAUGCAUCCUGUAU
rnacentral:hammerhead_ribozyme from 1 species